rnacentral:lncRNA from 1 species
CUUUUCAUCCAGUGAGGACACAGGGAGAAGAUGGUCAUUAGCGACCAGGAAGAGGGUCCCCCCACCAGAACCCCAUGCUGGCACCUGAUCUCGACUUCCGGCCUCCAGAAAUCUUUGAGAAGCAGAUAGGCUUGAAUGAGCAUGGAAUGUAUCUAUUUAAAAAGCAGCUGGAAGUCUGUCAAGUGCAUUCUGGAAAUGGAUUCAGGCUAACAGAGUGUUCUGAAUAGAGACGCCUAAAACAAGAGCCAAAGACAUAGCAAUGGAGAACGUGGGUGGUACAGCCCUCCACCCUGGCGAGCAGCACAUUAGAAUCACGUAGGAGCUUAAAAAGUACUGACUGGCCUGGUCUUUUUCGGUGUGAAGGUGGGAUGCAGGCUUCCUGGGGUUAUCCUCUCGUACAGCCAGAGUUGAGAACCAUCUGAGUAGCGCUUGUCACACUUCUGGCCACAUCAGAAUCGUCUGAGGGACUUGUUCACUGCAGGUUGCUGGGUCCCAUCUCUAGCCUCUGAUCCAGUAGCCUGGGGUGGGGCACAGGAUGUCCUGCUGCUGGGGUCUGGGCAGCGCUAUGAGAACUGCUGACGUUGGAGCUCGAUCAGGUGGUCCCUCACUCCCUGACCCAGGGCAUUUGCUGCUUCCUGUCUCUGCCAUUCUUUUCUCAACCUGGGGCACUUGCUUUUCUCGCUAUGCUGCCCUGCCCUUUGCUGAGGCCUGGGCUAUCCCUGGCAGGGUGCAGAAAAAAAAUUUUUAAGUUACUUUUCUCAGCCCAAAGGAGACUGGAAUGCUUCACAAGGGAUUCUACUUGACAGGCAAUUGGACCACCCAAAUGGCAAACUAAAAGCAUAGAAGCGGACACCAGAGGCUCCUGGACCUGAGAUGUGGCCCUGGAAGUGACCAGAUGUGGUCUCAAGAGAUGGGGGCCCAGGGCUAGGAAUGCCGCCAUCCGGGGAGGCCCUAGAGCAGAGCAGAGCAGCUGUGGGCUGGUGCCAAGCUCACUCCUGCUUCUCUCUGCACGUCUCCCUCAUUCUUUUCUCUCUGAACUGUGACCCUUUUGGCCCCUCUGAGUACCAGGUGGGACAAGGUGACCCCUCAGCACUUGAGUUUACACCUUAGAUGUGUAGGUCCUCACAGAGGCCAACUUAUCUCCUUCUGGGACCAAAUUCCAAAUUCCUAAAGAAAAAACAAACCAAAAACGGAUAUGAUAAACCUAUCUCAGUGGUCAGCCCCUGGGGCGCAAACAUUCCCCUGAGUCAGGGAAGGGUGACUGUAACACAGGUAUCAUUAUGAUUUAGGUGUGGCAAGACUAGCAGGUCAGGGGUGCCUGCCAUUGAAAAGACUGUCAUACAGUUCCCAGGUGGAAGGGGUGUGCCAGGAGGGGCAGCCAGAAGGCAGAUGGAGGGAAGCUGCCUUUAUGGUGUUUCUGCUGGGAGGCACAGGUGCGGUGGAGGAAGCAGGCUUAGGAUUGGUUCGUGUGAAUGUCUUCAGUGGGCUCUGGUUAUCUGGUACCUGGCCCGGGGUGAUGAGGGUAGAUAGAGGCCCAGAAGGUGAGAGCCUAAUACCCAGAGCGGUCGGGGGGGUGGGUAGGCUCAGGGCUGGUUGGUUUGGGAAGCAUGUUUGUGGGCCCGUUGGUUACCGUCUCAAGGAAUGGGCUAGGCCUGGGUGUGGCUGUCCUUCUAGGAUCAGCAAGGCAGCAAAUAUCAAAGCACCAGAAUACACAAAGUAAAAGACUGCAUUAAUACAGGGUAGUUUACAAAGAAAUGGGAAAUUGUUGGUUCUGAGCUGGGUGGGGAUUGAAACGGUGUUCCCUGCAGAUCCAUUUAAAGUCUCUCUGUAAAUACGCGUUGGUGUGUAACUGUUCCUUGUCUCUAACCUCAGCCAGCCCCUCCCAUGCCAGGUGAGGGGUCUUCCCACCUCCCUUUUCCUCUCUGGGUGUCCCUCCAUUAUGAUCUGGGGACCAAGGCUGGCUGUAGCAGUGUGCCUCCAUGGCCUAGGGCGGUUGGCAAAUGCAAUUUCUUCGGCAGUGCUGGAUAAAGUGGGAUGAUGCAGUGACCACACAGAAUGUCAUUUCUGAUGAAAGCUGGCAUGCCAGCCCGUGACAGGACACAGAGGAGCGUGGAUUCCCCUUCAUGGUUGACUUCAGCCAAGGCCAUCAUCCCCGCUGCCAAAGCCUGCCCUGAUUGCCUGCCCUGGGGGAGAGAAGUGUUUUGAAGAUGACAAAUCAAAGUCAGGUCCUGCAUGGAGUUUGCGUGCCUGACAGCCUGGCUAGCACAGGAGGACAUGCAGGUGGAAUUUGUGCAAGCCUGUUAUUUUCUGUAACACAAUACACACUGAGAAGGCAAUGGGUACCUUGGACCCUGCAGGCCAAUUCAAGCACCAUCACUACUUUUCAGAAGUGUGGGGCAUAGAUGUCAACUGAGCCUAGCAAGAUGUCCUAUGUUACCAAGAGACUAUUAGAAAGCAGAGCAGGUCUCAAGAUUCAAUGAAACAAUUGCCUGGAAGCUGGAAGAUAAUAUGGAAGCUAGGGAUAUAAUAGAGUAUGUUGCUGGGAACGGUGGCUCCUGCCUGUAAUCGCAGCACUUUGGGAGGCUGAGGUAGGGGGGAUCACUUGAGCCCAGGAGUUGGAGGCCAGCCUGGGCAACACAGCAAGACCCCAUUUCUAUAAAUAAUUAAAAAAAAAAUUAGCUGGGUGUUGUGGUGCAUGCCUGUAUUCUUAACUACUCCAGAGGCUGAGGUGGGAGGAUGGCUUGAGUCCAGAAGUUCAAGGUUACAGUGAACUACGAUUGAGCCACACUGCAUUCCAGCUGGGUAACAGAGGGAGACUCUGUCUCUAAAAAAAAAAAUUAAAAAAAAAGUAGGGUGGGUGGUUGAGGGUUGUGCAGUGUGAGUGAGGGUGGCCAGAAAAACCAUUUCCGUGACAGUUACAAAGGCUGUGUGUGGAUGGUGACGCUGAGGUUUUAUCUUCAAGCUGGUGGGACUGAACUGACCUUCAUAUCUCAGCGAUGAGUCCUGUAGACUGCAGGCUCCACGGCAGUUGCAGCUCCCAGGGCUUCAGAUUGGAGCUGCCUGUGACAUGCAGAGGUGGAAGCACAGCCUCAGCUGUGGUGGACGGCAGCCUCUUUCAGCCCCCAGGUGCAUAACAAAGGCUGUCUUGAUUGUAUCUGUGAGAGUGCCAUGAUUUGGGGUUUUCUCUGUCGGUUUGGACCAGAUCAGAAAGCAAUUGGGACUAUUGUGUCUCUCAUGGAAACCCAAGGUGGGAGAAAGAAGCAGAAGGAGAUCCUGGAACCAAAAACACUUCAGCAAUGAAGACUGGAUUUUCUCUGAAAUGAACAACAAAAUAAAAUCUCUCCUGUAGAUCUCUAAAGC